GUGCGGACUAGGCCGGGGGGUUAGGCGUCCCCUGCAACCGGAAAUCGUCUCAGCCGGGGCUGAAGCCGCCGGGGCGGCGCCCUCAGCGGGUGGCGAUCCGAUGCCGGACGAUGAAGUUUCGUCCUCUGGGACCUGGGGUGAAGGGAUGGCUGGCCGGAGGGUCAGCACACCCUUCUUUAUCCCGGUCAAGGAGUUAGGCCCGGAAGGGAGCGGCUCAACCGGGAACUACAGGUGCUCAGAGGGGCGCGGAGCUGAGAAGGGUGUCGGGCAAAUCGUCAUCUGCUGGUGGCGUCCACCCGGGGCGUGUCCGUGC
rnacentral:SRP_RNA from 1 species